UACGGAGGGUGCAAGCGUUAUCCGGAUUCACUGGGUUUAAAGGGUGCGUAGGCGGCCCGGUAAGUCCGCUCUGAAAGUCCAGGGCUCAACCCUGGAAAGCGGGGUGGAUACUGCCGGGCUAGAAUCCGGAAGAGGCGAGUGGAAUUCCUGGUGUAGCGGUGGAAUGCGCAGAUAUCAGGAGGAACACCAAUAGCGAAGGCGGCUCUCUGGGACGGUACUGACGCUGAGACGCGAAAGCGUGGGGAGCGAACAGG
rnacentral:rRNA from 1 species